CCCCUAGAUGUUCUGGGCCGCACGCGCGCUACACUGAACAGUUCAACAAGUCUUAACCUUGGCCGAUAGGUCUGGGUAAUCUUUGAACGCUGUUCGUGAUUGGGAUAGACCUUUGCAAUUAUGGGUCUUCAACGAGGAAUUCCUAGUAAACGCAAGUCAUCAGCUUGCAUUGAUUACGUCCCUGCCCUUUGUACACACCGCCCGUCGCUCCUACCGAUUGAGUGUGUUGGUGAGGAGUUCGGAUUGGCAGCAGGUGGUGGUUCGCCACUGCCUAUUGCUGAGAAGUUCUCCAAACCGCCCCACUUAGAGGAAGGAGAANUCGUAACA
rnacentral:rRNA from 1 species